CUUUGGCAACAGAACAGUCAAGAGAAGACGACUAAAAACUGAAAGAACUGCAGAGAGAGUUCCCCGACCUGCCUCACCCAGCCUGCCCUUUCAACAACUAGAGGUGAGUGCUGGCAAGUCCCAGGGUGCACACUGGAGCCAACAAAUAGCCCAUUGUCUGGAAGCCCUGAGCCAGCCUGUCCCCUGGGGUCAUGCCACAUGGGGCCUUGAUCACCUGUCAGCCUUUGCUCUUCCUGGCCCCAGAUCUAGGUAAAACAAUGGCCUCUGAACACACCCAAGCUCCACAGUGGUGGCUGGUGUCUCUGAUAGGACAAGUAGGGAAAUGAUCUCUUUCAUGUUCCCUUUCAUGUUCCCUUUCUCCUCAGGGAACCAGAAACCCUGUGCCCAGGUUCAACCUGCUGUUUCUUCACCAGGUGACCCUGCAUAGCCUUUUGAAACGACCCUGACCCUCAUCCGUCUAGUGACAAGAUGGGAAUCAUCAAGACUUCAUUACAUAACUGGAGAAGCCAGUAAGGUGUGCAAGGAACAUGAUAUACCACCAGCUAGUCUGAAGCUUGGGAAAAGAGAGAAAGCAAGCAGAAAAAAAGUGUGUGCCCACCAACCUGCUAGGGCCUGAGGACAGCCCUGAUGGAGGAACCAGGAGAGUGGUUGCCACCACUUGAAGCCAGAUUGGAGGACAACAGAGAAACUGGCCAGCUCUGGAGUCUGACCUAUGCAGGGAGCUGGGUGUCCACCCCCCACUGCACACAUCUUGGGAUUGCUUUGUGCAUGCCCCCUUGGGCUGCCUGUCACAGUGAUCACAAGAUACUGUUCCUAUCAGGUUUUAUGAUGUAGACUCUAAGGGAGCUGCCCCUUUAUACAAGUCCCUGUGUCCCAGUGGAAUCGCAGCCAGCCCAUCGCCAUGGGAGGGAGAUUUGUUUGUGGUUUACUCACUCAUUUGUUGUUCACAGGUUCAGUCACCGUGCUGCCCACACAUAUGUAUUAACAGUCACCCACGUGCCAGGCAUCGUGUAGAUGCAGGAGGAAGGAUAUUAAACAAAAAAUUACACAAAUAACGAUUUUUAGGGUUGUGAAGUAAUAAGUAUAGUUGUGAAAAGUGCUCAAAAGACAAAGGAGAGGCCACUGUGAAAGGUGUAAGGGGGGGCCAGGCGCGGUGCCUCCCGCCUGUAAUCCCAGCACUUUAGGAGGCCGA